GAGGAGCCACGGGCCGGCAGCACAUAGGCCACACCUACUGUCGAGAGGCGGGGACGCGAGCUCAUAGACAUCAGAAAUUAAGGGGCGGGGCCUGCACCGAUCAGGCGUGAGCGCGCGGCGGGAGGCCGUUAAAUUUGCGUCACUCUGAGGGAGGCGCAGUCAGCGAUUAGCCCGCUAGAGGAGCCGCACAAUUCGCUGGUUCUCCGUCACGCCCACCUGGAUGUCUUCUGAAGCAACGCCUUUGGCCGGUGGCUGCCAUGCAGAAAACACUGAACUUUGCCCUUUAUGUUCUGCUUCCAUUCCUCAAUGGGGUACAUAGUGAUCAUGAUGGACCUGGAGACAACUCUGUCCUCUCUGGAUUUCAAGCUCUUCAAAGGACAACACUUCAAGCUUUUCGGAUGAGAAGAAUUACAAACAAGUGUUGCUGAAUGAAAUUCUACCUGUACUGUAAACCUGCUGUUUUUAAAGUGAUAUUAAACGCUAAUAGAUUUAUUUUUUAA